GGAGGAUUCGCCUAGUGGCCUAGGGCGCACGCUUGGAAAGCGUGUUGGGGGCAACCCCUCGCGAGUUCGAAUCUCGCAUUCUCCG
rnacentral:tRNA from 1 species